CCUACGGGUGGCAGCAGUGGGGGAUAUUGCACAAUGGGGGAAACCCUGAUGCAGCGACGCCGCGUGUGGGAAGACGGUCCUCUGGAUUGUAAACCACUGUCCCCAGGGACGAAGAUGACGGUACCUGGGGAGGAAGCUCCGGCUAACUACGUGCCAGCAGCCGCGGUAAUACGUAGGGAGCGAGCGGUGUCCGGAAUUACUGGGUGUAAGGGGAGCGUAGGCGGGACUGCAAGUUGGGUGUCAAAUCUACCGGCUCAACCGGUAGCCGCACUCAAAACUGCAGUUCUUGAGUGAAGUAGAGGCAGGCGGAAUUCCUAGUGUAGCGGUGAAAUGCGUAGAUAUUAGGAGGAACACCAGUGGCGAAGGCGGCCUGCUGGGCUUUUACUGACGCUGAGGCUCGAAAGUGUGGGGAGCAAACAGGAUUAGAUACCCCUGUAGUC
rnacentral:rRNA from 1 species